GUAUAAUGGGUCAGCGACUUAUAUUCUGUAGCAAGGUUAACCGUAUAGGGGAGCCGCAGGGAAACCGAGUCUUAACUGGGCGUUAAGUUGCAGGGUAUAGACCCGAAACCCGGUGAUCUAGCCAUGGGCAGGUUGAAGGUUGGGUAACACUAACUGGAGGACCGAACCGACUAAUGUUGAAAAAUUAGCGGAUGACUUGUGGCUGGGGGUGAAAGGCCAAUCAAACCGGGAGAUAGCUGGUUCUCCCCGAAAGCUAUUUAGGUAGCGCCUCGUGAACUCAUCUUCGGGGGUAGAGCACUGUUUCGGCUAGGGGGUCAUCCCGACUUACCAACCCGAUGCAAACUACGAAUACCGAAGAAUGUUAUCACGGGAGACACACGGCGGGUGCUAACGUCCGUCGUGAAGAGGGAAACAACCCAGACCGCCAGCUAAGGUCCCAAAGUCACAGUUAAGUGGGAAACGAUGUGGGAAGGCACAGACAGCCAGGAUGUUGGCUUAGAAGCAGCCAUCAUUUAAAGAAAGCGUAAUAGCUCACUGGUCGAGUCGGCCUGCGCGGAAGAUGUAACGGGGCUAAACUGUGCACCGAAGCUGCGGCAGCGACACUAUGUGUUGUUGGGUAGGGGAGCGUUCUGUAAGCCUGCGAAGGUGGCCUGUGAGGGUUGCUGGAGGUAUCAGAAGUGCGAAUGCUGACAUAAGUAACGAUAAUGCGGGUGAAAAGCCCGCACGCCGGAAGACCAAGGGUUCCUGUCCAACGUUAAUCGGGGCAGGGUGAGUCGACCCCUAAGGCGAGGCCGAAAGGCGUAGUCGAUGGGAAACAGGUUAAUAUUCCUGUACUUGGUGUUACUGCGAAGGGGGGACGGAGAAGGCUAUGUUAGCCGGGCGACGGUUGUCCCGGUUUAAGCAUGUAGGCGGAGGUUC
rnacentral:rRNA from 1 species